GUUUUGUUUUUGGUAUUGUUUUUUUUUGCGUUUUAUGUAAAUAAAAAUGUGUGUACGCAGCUUUGCGUGCAUUUCGGUUGUAUUCCCCAUCUCCUUUCCAUUUCCCCCUUUUCACCCAAAAAUACCACCGUUAAUUUCCACCCAAUUCUCCAAAGCGGAGUCACCUGUUGAACAUUGGGCGUUUGAACAAGCUUUGUCAAGCUCCAUUUCAAACCGUUCUACGCUCUCUAGAAGUCAUCUGAACGUCACAAGAUUAGAUAGUGGGCCAAUUUACAAAGAUAAGAGUUAUAACUGAUAGUUCGACCCGUUUUUGUUCCGAUGCGUGAGUGUUAAAUUCGACGUCCUUUUAUUUUAUCACACGCUUGUGCGUGAGUGUGCCUGUCCAGUCAAUCGCACACGUGCACCGCCCGCUGUGCCGUUACGUGCCCUUCGACCCUUUCCAGCCAGCCCCCCCCACUUCCAGUCGCCCUACGUGCUGCACUUCUUCCGCCUGCGAACCG